CCCUACAGCUCCUGAAAGGAGAUUGUGGUGAGUGGGGGUCGGCCUCUGCUCCCUGGUAGCAGUGAUGGGACGAGAGGUGAUGGCCUCACCUUGUGCCAGGGAAGGUUCAGGUUGGAUGUUAGGAGCGAUUUCGUCUCCAGAGAGCAUUGAUGCAGUGGCACAGGCUGCCCAGAGGGUGGGGGAGUCCCUGUUCCCGUCCCCAGAGGUGUUCAGGAACCGUGGGGAUGUGGCACCUGGGGACGUGGGUUAGUGGUCAGCAUCGGCAGUGGGUGGUCGAUUGGACUAGGUGACCUUAGAGGCCUUUUCCAAUCUUAACGAUUCUGUGAUUCUGUAUCCUUAAAACUACAUGCGUCCAACCUGCCAGGUUUAUGUUUUGCUGCCCUCUUUUGUUGUGUUUUAAUAUAAAUAUAUAAAGUCUCGUUACAUAUAUACAUUUAUAUAUAUGUGUAUAAGUUAUGUAUUUAUAGGUGUCCUGUGACACAUCCCCCUCUGGCAGUGCAGCCCAGGCUGCUGGUAGGUCAGGCUCUGUGCUGUAAGCACUCAGAAGAGACCAUCAGUGCCAAAGGAGAUCUUCUGCAUCCUCUGAAUCCCAGUGCUGUGCUGGGGCUGGAGGGCCCCUGGAGCCACAGCCACGACAGACCCAUAGGGCAUUUGUCACUGCAGCCCUCCAAGCAGGUGCAGAGUUCAGCAGCAAUUGCAAAGACAGACGUGGGGAAGGAACACGCACAGGAGCGACCUCGGAGGCUGUGAGGAGAGGUCCAAAUUGUCCCAUUUAAAAAUGUGCAACGAGGGUGUUUAUGCCCUGAAAGGCUGUGGUCCACCCUCAGAAGUGUUCACUGGGUGGGUUCUUGCCUACCAAAAAAAGAGGGAGGGUUUUCGUGCCGUGCUGCUGAGGCGGAUGAAAAAAGAAUAGAGCUUUUCCAUCUGCAGAUCUGCUCGCCUUUCCAACACGAAGGUUAAAGGUGGUGAGUGGGACGUGAUAAAGAAAUGUCAUCCGUGUGAGGGGACCACAAGGUGCCGUGUCCUGUGGAUUAUUCCGUUGUCAACAACAUCUGGAGCUGCAUGUUGGUUUUCACACGUCCCUGAUGCGUUGGGCAGUCCUUUUCAUUGUCCCACACGGGAUGGAGAAAAGGAAGGAUAUCGUAAAUGCUCAAUGGAGCUUUAUGAGGGCUCCAAGCACUGUGGGUCACCUGCCCACGAAACGAAUGUGGGAGUUAUGAGAGAGAAGUCAUACAGGUUUGGGGUUUUUCAUUUGCUCCUCUAAUUAAGGAUAGCUAAUUACUGAUUCUCUUAAAAGGCGUCACAGAGUCUCACCUCUUCUCCUCUUUCAGCGAGUCCCUUCACGAUGAGUAAAUCCCAGCUCCUGCUCUGGGUGGCUGUUAGGUGCACACUGUGAUGUCUGCAGCAGGGGCUGUUUGUGGGCUGUGCUGCUGGAAUCUGCCUCUCAGUCGCUGACUGUUCCCGUAAGUGCGUUUCCCACUUAACUGAUAUUUCUACAACUGAGAAAUGCCAGUCACAAAACCGCUAAUUGAAAUACAUCGUACGAGCUACUUGUUGUCUAAUUACAUUUCAAUCCCAGAAGAUUGCUCCUUUCAAGCAGACAGAGGACCAAACCGUGCCUGUUUGCCCCAGAAGUGUUUGUAGCUGGAGUGAAUCACUGAAUAUUGCACUGAUUUACAGAGAGCAGGCAGAACUGACUUCAGCCCCAACAAUCGCAGACAAUUAUAAACAAUAUCUGCCAAUUAAAUCUUUGUUAAAGUUACUUUGCUGUUGGAAUGAAAUCUUCAUGUUAUUUAUUGUGGUUAUGGAGGUACUUUCAUUUUAGCUAUUGAAAGGAUUCGUGAUGUUAAUGCAGAAUAUUGUAUUUGCUUUAAUUAAGAAAAACAACACCUUUUGUCCCAAAAUCUUUUGUAUCACACCCAUGUUCCUAUUUAAUAAUUUUAAAGCUUAUUUUGUAUUUGAUUACAUGCGUAUGCCUACACAGUUAUAAAUAUUUGGCACUUUUCUGUCAUGUGUCUCUCCUAAGGAAGUUCAUAACAUUAUUUGCAAAGUUCUUUCGCACCAGUUGUGAUUGUGGAAGGAGUUCAGGUUGGCUGACCAGCCUGAAUGAGCUGAUUCAGACUGGUUUUCUCGCUUCAACACCUGAAUGGAGCAGUACCGUGAUGCGUGGUUGUAACUGGGCUGGCACGCUCUGCAGCCCUCAAACACUGCAGAGGGACAAGGUGGAUGCCAGGAAGCAUGGCCACGAAGCCCUGAGCCACAUGGUGCUUCGCUGUGCUCCUGUGGUUGCUGCAAACCAGAGUAACUCGCAGGCUCUUGGGGCUGCUGCAGGAUUCUGACGGUAGGAAGACGACAUGAGGGCUUAAGAGUGCUGCUGUGCACCCGUGUCUUCCUGAAACAUAGCUCCGUGGAGUCCCCCUGCAGCCAGAAACUCUGGUGCUGGAGCAGAGAGCCGCAGUGCUGCCUUCACUCCCAGCCGGACAGUUUGUUAUGGUCACCAAGGAGGAGACAGCACGGUUCAUCUCAAAGGGAAGGAGGGAGCUGCUUGCUGUGCUUGCUGCCCUGUGCUCUGCUUUCCCUUCUUGCUGUGUUACCCAGCCCUUGUCCUUCUGGGAGCCUGGGCAGAUAACCUUUCUGCAAUAAUCUGAUAUUCAAACAGAAGGAGUUCACUCCUGAACUGCCCCAAUAUUUGAGAAAGGUUUUACAGUGAAAUAGGUUUUUUCUGUGUCCCAUUAUUGCCCUGGCGGCUGCGCGUGUGCGUGCAUGCCCGGAACACUGAGAAAGGUAAAACCAACAGAAUGAAAAGGUCAUGGUUAUAUAAAAACCCUUUUAAAGCUAAACAGCCCUGGCACACUGAGUUCCCCGUGGACACUCAGCGGUUGAGAACUGAGAGCAUCAGGGCAUUCGGAAGGUCAAAUUCUGCAUCUGCAAAUGCCCAGGAGAAGCCAGGAGCUGUGGUCAGCCCGAGCUGCCCCCAGUCCGUGGAAAAAGCAGAGGACAGAGCCCCACAGAGCUCAGUGUGCAGGAAAAACAUACAGCUUGGGCCGGGAAGAGAUCACUGAGCCUGCCCGAAGCAGAACCAAGGUUGGUCUUGCUCGUGCCAUGCCUCUGACAAAGCCAAAAGCACCGGAUGACCAGAGAGGCUUUGAGAACAGGGACUCCCGAAGGCAGACAAGCUGUCUUUGUGUUUGAGGAGUCCUCUAAUUACUCUCUCUAAUUACUUUUUGAUUCAUACAAAAUCUCAGGAUCUGCAGCAUCCUGCUGCGCAGUCGCCCAUACGAGACGGAGAAGCACGUCUGAACCCUCCACCCUCCUUUCUCAUGAGGGGAGCAGGCAUCCCCAUUCAUCAUCGUGACGGCUUUAUUCAUCUGUUGCGCCCGCUUUGCCCAUCCCUUGCUCCAUCCAGGAGGUUGGAGUGAGGUGGGGGUCAGCCUCUGCUCCCAGGUAACAGCGAUAGGACGAGAGGCGAUGGCUUCACAUUGCACCAGCAGAGUUUCAAGCUGGAUACUGGGAACAAUUUCUUGUCCAAAUAGUGGGGAUGCACUGGCACAGGCUGCCCAGGGAGUGGGGGAGUCCCCAGCCCUGGAGGUGUUCAGGAACCGUGGAGAUGUGGCACCUGGGGACAUGGUUUAGUGGUAAUAUUGGUGGCAGGUGGGUGGUUGGACUAGAUGACCGUAGAGGCCCUUUCCAACCUUAAUGAUUCUGUGAUUCUCCAAUGUUUUGCAGUCAUUUCAUGUUUUUACUGCUCUGCAUAACUCAGUCUCAUUGCAUCCCUGGGUCUUUGCUCUCUCCUCUUUCCUGUUUAUGAACAGGACAGCCUUCAGCCCAGACCCCUCCAGGGACCCACUCACAACCAGCGCCGCUGACUGAAGUGCCGUCACCGCGGGAUGUAGGCGCGCGCUUGGCACUGAAGCGCUUUGCUUUCUUCGUGUGUUUCUAUGACCAAAGCAAAUCCUACUCCAGCUGGUAACUGAGCAGCGCCGACAGCCCGCCCAGACCUGCUUUAAGGCCUGGUAGAAAAAUCAAACUUCGUGUCAGUGUAUGUGCACGGGUGACAAGUAGGUCUCCACCUGCAUGGAACGUCCCUGCCAGUCUGGGUCUGUGACUCAGGCAGCUUCCAGGGAUGCUCCCUCUGCCUGCAUCUGCGCUCCCUGAAGCCUCAGUGAGCAUCGCUGCUCUCAUCGGAGCGCCGGAGCUGAUCUGCAGGGUGAAGUGCUGCGGUGUUCUGCGUGGCAGCAGAGGCUGAACAACCCCUUUCUGACCUCGCAGAGCUUUUACAAGGUUUAAUCCCCUGUUGUUGAAAGCAGGUGUAGAAGGGGGAGCCUUGGUGUGAUUUGGCUCUCAGCGUCGCAACAUUAAUGAAAAGCAAACAACUCAAAUGUCAGACCUCAAGGAAAAAUGUGUUUAAAUAUUUCCUCUGCAGCCCCUGGCACAGCCCGCGGUGACACAGUGAUUGCAGAUGGCUGGGGGUCAGGGUGGAGGGGCUCUGAGCUGUGGGUGUCCCCAUCCCUCGCAGGAGUGGGACCAGGUGGCCUUUAGGGGACCCUUCCAACUUCACCCAUCCCAUGAUUCCUACGGCUCACAGCACGCCUUGCAGGUGCGGGACCACGAGGUGGUGAAAUAAACCCAAGUGUUAAUAGUGGCUGCGAAAAUUUGAUUUUUAUUCUCUGUUCACUGCAUACAAAACACCAUUCUGCAUAGUGGCAACUCAUUUGUCGUACAGUUGACAGUGCACAUCAACAAACAAGUGUCAGAGGUAUACACUCAACGAGGAGGGCAGUGGUGGCCGGGGUGACGCCGGGAUGGAGGAGUGCCUCACAACCACUCACGUACGAGUAAUAGGAAUGGGAUAGGAAGCACUGACCGAGUUAAUGUGAAUGAGGAUGAAGAGACAAAGCAGAAUUCGUGUGUCCAAUACACAACGUCCAGAGCGAUUAAGAAGGGUCACGGAGGCGGCUGAGAAGGAUCUGUAUUUUUUUCCAAACGCUUCCGGUCUUUAAAGUUGCUAAAAUUUAAUGAUAAAUAACAGAACCUCACAAAUAUUUUGGGGCAAAAUGCUCCACAUUUAUUUACAUACGAAAUGUGUUUAAUACAGUCGUAAUGGACAUAGUGUAUAGUAACAUCUGACAGCAGCAAGACUUUGAAGGAACCGAACAGUUACUACCGUAUAUCAUGCAGCUACCUAUAUAUACACGACUUGUUUCCUUUUUUUCUUAAAAAAAAAAAAAAA